rnacentral:lncRNA from 1 species
CAGGCGCGUCUUCAAAGCGUCCUGGCUCUCCGUGAACUAUGCCAAUCCCAAGUCACCAUAUACCGGCAUUCCCAUGCGUACAACAGCGCAGCAGCACCAGAUUUUUCUCUAGGCAAUGUAGUGAGAAACUCUACGACAGCAGC